GGGCUCUUCCUCUAAUCAGGAGAAAGCUGGUCUGGUGUGUAUUGUUCCCUUCUUUCUUUGCUUUUUAAAGAUCCAACUGCUUUAAUUUUCAUCUUUUAUUAUGGGAAAAUACACCAUGUAUAAAUAUUAAAAAUUAUAAAUAUAUAUUAUUUCAUAUAGAAUGGCCAGUAUAAACCUUUACAGUUUCCACUCUUUUUCAGUUUACAGUUUAAUGACAUUAAGUACGUUCACACUGUUUAGCAACCAUCACCGUCAUCAUCUCCAGAACAGUUUUAUUUUUCAAAAUGGAAAUUGCAACCAUUCGCCAAGCUCUCCACUCCUCUCUCUCGCCCACCCCUGGGGGCCACCUUUCUAGUUUGUAACUCUAGGAGUCUAACUACUCUAGACACUUGAUAGAUAAGUGGAAUCAUACCGUGUUCAAUUUUUUUUUUUUUUUUUAGAGUCAGCGUCUUUCUCUGUCACCCAGUUUCGAGUGCAGUGGCAUGAACUCGGCUCACUGCAACCUCCACAUUGGGGGUUCAAGCUAUUCUUAUGUCUCAGUCUCCCGAGUAGCUGGGAUUACAGGCGUGCGCUAUCACACCCAGCUAAUUUUUGUAUUUUUAAUAGAGACGAGCUUUCACCAUAUUGGCCAGGCUGGUCUCGAACUCCUGAGCUUAAGUGAUCCGCCUGCCUCAGCCUCCCAAAAUGCUGGGCUUACAGGUGCGAGCCACUGAGCUUUGGCAUGUUUAUCCUUUUGGGAUUUAUUUAUUUCACUGACGAUAAUGUCUUCAAGGUUCAUCCAUGUUGCGGCCUGCGUCAGAAGUGCCUGUUUGUUUUUGUUGUUUUUUUUUUGGUUUGGUUUUAUUUUGUUUUGUUUUGCGUUUUCAUGUAGUCUCACUCUGUCGCACAGGCUGGAGUGUAGUGGCACAAUCUGGGGUCACUGCAACCUCCGCCUCCCGGGUUCGAGCGAUUCUUGCGCCUCAGCCUCCUGAGUAGCUGAGAUUAGAGGUGCGUGCCACCACACCAGCUAAUUUUUGUAUUUUCAGUAGAGAUGGGGUUUGCCAUGUUGGCCAAGCUGGUCUUGAACUCGUGAGCUCAGGUGAUCCACCCACCUCAACUUCCCAAAGUGUUAGGAUUACAGCCGUGAGCCACUGUGCCCAGCCCAAGGAUGUGUUUAUUUUCUAUAGACUUUUGAUGAUAAUAAUUUGACAGCAAAUAUAUUGUGAGUAU
rnacentral:lncRNA from 1 species